UACAGUCUCCUUUCUUUUGAUUGAGCUUCAUGUGGCAUUGUUUAGUAUAAAUAGCUUGUAGUUUGGAUUGUAUGUGAUGGGUUACACUCAAUUCCGAGUUUCUUUCUUCUUUGUCUCGACGUGAGCCUUAGGCUAGGCUGUUUUUUGAGACUUCUAGUCUAGUUGGUAAGACUAUUAAUUAUGCCUAAGUUUGGCCGUAAUUAGACUAUGUUAGGUGGCUUGAUUGAUGUUUAUGGUGAUUGGCGGAUUCACACCUGAGGAUUGAUUUUGGGAGAAAACUUAGUUUUUUUUUGGUUUUCCACUCGAUGUUCGGAGCCCAUGGAGCCCCGACUAAAUUCACAUUGCGCACUCCAAGGCCCAUUUAGAGGUAGCACUCCCAACAUAAUUUUUUUCAUUCUAGAGCUUGAAUCCGAGACCUUUGGUAAGGGUGAAGUAGCCCCACCACUGCACCAUAACCCAUGUUGGUGGAUAAAAAACUUAGUUGGUGUAGCCGUUAUUGGCUGGAAUUUAUGAGACUGUGUCCUUUACUAUUGUAGCACCUAUCUUGAAGCUUUGGUGUAGUGAUUUCCAUCCAGUUAGGCUUGUGAACUACUAUUGGAUUCCAUUUCUGGAUUUAGAGCUAAAAUUCCCUAUGCUUUCUUUUUGCUGUUUGGCGGGGCUAGCUGUGUUUGAAAUCUCGAGGUUGUAUUCCCAGUUGGAUCUAGAUGUAUUGAUUGACUAGCUUAGCACCUGUUUCCUCAUUUUCCUCCUCCUUAUUACCCAAUUAGGGUUGAUUUCCCUUUUGGGCUUUGUUGCUGAGUUAGAGGAGUAGAUUUGAGCCCUAGGCCUUGGUUAGAGGUCGGUUGCAUAUGCUAGUCCUGGUUCUAUGCUCUAGAGGGUAAGGUGCUUGUGACAUCAUUAUUGUAUGUAAUUGUGCGUGUUGUUUAGGUGUUGAUGAUGACAUGCAUUGCAUUGAAUCAUUAUUUUCUCAUGGAUGUAGUCGAUCUCGAUGCAUGCAUUGGUUCUUGAAAUUCAAUUGACAAAGCUGGGUUGUAACCCAAACUAUUUUAUAUCGAUUUUUGAAUAGGGGUAGUACUACCUUUAUUACUACUAUUUUUAGUGGACUGGAGGCAUCGAAGAUGCACUCAUUUUAUGAUAUUAGAUCAAGGCAUCAAAGAUGUGGUCAUUUUAUGAUUUCGGUUCGAUCGGAGAGAUUUUUCGACCCUUUCUAUUCUGAUUUGACUAUUUAUCUCUGGUCAGUGCAAUGGAGUGGAUUUUUGAUGAUCAGACAUACAGAUUAAUAACUAUAUUGAUAUAAGACUUGGAUCAGAAAUAGACAGGUAUAUAUGGGCGGUCUCGAGCCCCCCAUAGCUAUCCAAGAUAGGCGUAGUAUGUUUAUAUAUCUUGGUAUAAGACACUUGGCACUAAUGGUACUAUUGGUUUUAUUGCAUGACUCUCAUUCAUAUAUGCAUUGCCUAUCACCAACAUAGUUAUUUGUACUUGUUGGUAGUAUGGGAUGCCGUGCGAGUUUACCCGUUUGUGAGUGAACUUCUUGGGCACAUAGGCGCUCGGGAGGUAUUGCCUUACUAUUUGCAAACUUGUGGCGGUAUAAAGGGUGGUCUCUUGUUUGAAGGUAAUUACUGCCCUUGUUCUUAUUUAUAUAACUUUUUUGUGCAGGGAUUUAGUUGAUACGGUCCUUUGGGCCUUUAUGUGAUAUGUGUGUUUAAUUCUAUUAGUAGGUUGUCACUUAGUUGUCCUCCUUCGUAGUGUGUCGUCUUGUUUAGGUCCUGGGCUGGCGCCACCACGUACGUCAUUGGUUUCCUUGCUUAUUUCCUAUCUUUUCUCUCUUUGUUAUAUCUAAUGCUUCUUAUUGCAGGCUUCCAUAUUAUUUUUGUUAGUUACUUGUGAUAUAUACUGCUUGAUUACAUGUUCUUUAUACUUAUUUUAUCUUGGAGCUUAGUCGGCCGAUGCAUACUGAGUGUCGCUUGUUGGUACUCAUACUAUACUUCUGCACCCUACUGAUCAUAGUACAAGUUUUCUUUACUGAUUUGGAUAUCGUGCGGAGUAGUUCAUGGACUUUGGAGACUUAGGUGAGCUCUUAGACAGAGGAUUGGUGACUCACCGACCUGGAAGGCGAGUUCGACUGACCUCGCCAAGUGGUCCCCGCCAGACUUUUAAUAAGGGGUCGAACGUACAUCACGCAUAUCUCACUCGUGGCUAGAGAUUGAACUUACUUUCCUCUUGAUUGGAGUUGAGGAUGAAAAUCAUAUUCAUCUACGUGGCUAGUUAAACUUUCCUAUCCGGCGGUGUAUAUGGUAGGAAUCGGCGUUGCUCCACAUUAUCCUCCUCAUGGCUAAGUUGAUCGUUGAAGGCUACCACUUUUUGUGAGUUCCUAUGUUCCGGGAAAAACACUCCUAACCUUUCUAGCUUAUGUUAUGUUUAGACAUUUGAGUUAUAUUUUGAUAAUUUGACCUAAUCUUGAGGGUGAGCUAGGGACAUGUCUUAGCCCCUGCCAAGUCUUAAUAUAGAAGGUAUUAUUAGACAUAGAAAAUGAUGUUGUGUUGACCUUGACUCUUAUUGAAUGUAAGAAUCCCUUAG